UACGGAGGAUGCGAGCGUUAUCCGGAUUUAUUGGGUUUAAAGGGUGCGCAGGCGGCUUGCUAAGCGGGAGGUGAAAUGCCGGCGCUCAACGUCGGAAGUGCCUCCCGAACUGGUAGGCUGGAAUGGCCCUGCCGUGGGAGGAAUGUGUGGUGUAGCGGUGACAUGCAUAGAGAUCACACAGAACACCGAUUGCGAAGGCAUCUCACGAAGGGCUGAUUGACGCUGAGGCACGAAAGCGUGGGUAG
rnacentral:rRNA from 1 species